rnacentral:ncRNA from 22 species
AAGCGGUUGACAAAACGCAAAGCGUUUUGAACGUUGGCUUUGCCAACGGCUCCGAAGGAGUGAGAAAUCUGUCACAACAGAUUUCGAAUAAAAAACCAUUAA